UGCCAUUCACAUUCCAAGACAGGGCCUUCCCUCUGAGCUAUUUCUGCAUUUUUAUAGCUCAUUUUCACUACUAGGAAUACAGCUGCUGGCAGACACCCAUCUGUGAAGUGGAGAAGCUUUGGCGAGGUAUCUAC
rnacentral:lncRNA from 1 species